CCCGUGACUACGGGUCAGUCGGCCACCAUGAUCGCGUUCGCGUGCGCCAUCUGCCUCCUCCUGCAGGUGUUGGGCCGGACGUGUGGCGCGCCGCCACCCGGGGGGGCCGACCUGGACUCGGCCGCGACUCCGGCUCUGAAGCGACCGCCACCCUGGGGGCCUGGCGGGGUGGUGCCACUCCGCUGCCCACCCGGUCUGCUUCCCUGCGGCCCCCACUGCUGUGUCGCUAUCCCGCGCAGCGUCACCUGCCCCCACGGGACCGAGGUGACCGGACUAUGCUUGACUUUCGAUUGAGCCGCGGGACCCUCGCAGAGCCCAGGAGCGGCGGGGUGGCAGUCGAGGCAGCGGCGCAGAAAAUGCCGCAAACGCUCACGCCUGGUGGUGCGUGCAAGGCGCCGGUCCAAUGCGGGAACGACGCACUAGGGCCGCAGUGCAUGCGCAAAGACGUCUAACUACGGCGCUAGCUUACAGAUGGUCGUGAAGAAUACACGAGUAUCCACA